GAGAGGAGACACUGUCAUAUAGUUUGUUCACUUCAUUUGGAUGCACAAUGGUAGCAGGUGGUCAACCAUCGAUUCAUCGUUUAAAACAGAUCCUGUGGCUGAUUUCUUUGAUGGAAAUAUUAGGAGGAAAAGGAGGGAAUUCGGAAGAUGUUACUACAAAUUGUCCUGCACGACCAUUUGUGGAGGGGAAAGUCAUCAACAUCACCUGCGACAUCAACCAGACCAGUAUUUCAAAUGCAGGCUGCUUCAUUCCACCUACAAAGCUUGACUUCAAAGUGGUAGUUACUGCUGUGCCAUUCAUUUUGUGUUCCCCUGAUUAUCCUCCUCCAUCUUGUGCACAAAACUUAACAGAAGGAGCAUGCUUUUGUGCACAUCAAAAUGGUGAUAUAUAUACAUAUCAGUACAAUUUCAUUGCAAAUGCUGGUUACCAAGGAGGAAAUAUAACAUGUGACAUCUGUGCAUUACCUACAACAAGUCCAACUAAGAAGACCAGUGAAAACUGUACAAAUAUCUUUAUUGAAACAACCACUGCAGCAACAACCACUAAAACAACAGCAGUAACAACAACAGUCAUCAGAUCAACAUCAGAAGGAAGCACGUCCAGUAGCCAGCCAGAGUGGUGGUGUAUUCUUCUGAUUAUUAUUAUCAUUCUAUUGAUAAUAAUAAUAAUCAUCAUCAUCAUAGUAGUUAGGCGUAAGCAUCAUCAUAAGUGGGCAAUGGCAAUAGAAGAUUGGAAUGGCUGCAAAGAAAUACUGGAGGUUAAAGAUUUCAUUACAAUUUUGGAGUAUAGAGGAUCACUCUGGAAACGAGAGACACAUAGUCAGAUUGGGUGGUUCCCUUGUGAGAAAGUAAAAUUGGAAGCUUGUUGUGCCAGCCCAGGGAAUACACACAUCCGGGAGUCUGCUUCAUAUGCAAUAAGUCAUAGACAACUAAGGCCGUUACCAGUGCCUAGCAAACUCACCUCUAUUGAGCGUAAUUCAGCUAUAGAUCUGCCUGCUCCAUCACCUGGAAGACAGCCUUUGCCUCCAAUAUCAGGAAGAUUAGAGAAAUUUUAGUGCUUACCAUUUUGCAGCUUCUCUCUAAAAUCUUUCCUGCUAUUUCUCUCAGAAAUGAAUGCCUAGUGAAUAUUUGUGAUCAAUCAUUAGAGAUAUCAAAGACGUUUAUCAGAUACGAAUAUUCAUCUGGGAAGUAAAAUGAAUGUGCAUGGCUGUGUAGCAUUGAAUAGUAUAAUCAUAUUCCAGAAUGCCUUCAGUGAAGAUAUGCAUGUUGAUAACCAUGUCAGAUCUGUAAACUUGCAGUGUUCACAACUUGCACACAACAUGAAAUGAAGGUAGUUUUAUUUUUACAUUUAUCAGAACACUCAAGAAGAAACCUUGUAUAUUUAGGUCUGGUUCAUUGGUUUAUAGGUUUUUUUUUUCAUUUGUCAUGUGACUUUUGAUCACUAAGAUUAUCAGAUACAAAUAUUCACCUAGAAAGUAAAGUGAAUAUGUAUCUGGCAUGUUUGUGUAGCAUUAAAUAAUAUAAUCAGAUUCCAGACUGCUUUCAUUGAAUAUAUACCUGUUGAUAACCACAUCUGAUCUGCAAACUUACAGUGUUCACAACUUGCCCACAGCAUGAAAUGAAGGAAAAUAUCCAAUGAGACAGCCAUUGGACUGGAGCAGAAUGUAUCAGUAAUCAAACAGGUUGAUCAAAUCGUCAGGAAUAUGUCCAGAUGAUCACAAAGCAGAAAUUACAGUAAAAUGUUGAAACACAUGACUGUUUGGCAUUGAUGUAAAGACUAUCGCAGGAAUGACUAGUAAAAAUGAAGAAAUUGUGAUGGCAUUAGCCAGAGAGGAUUAACAACAAUGAGAGAGUUGAUAUUAGCAGAGGAAAAAAGCCACAGGCAAGUAAAACACAAUUCUAAUGAUAUCAGAAAAAAAUUGUAGAUUAGUACAAUAUGUACAACAAGCACAACAAAUCCAAUCUGAAAAUGUGGAGAGCUGAUCCCCUAAUAGGCUUGUAUAAUUAUUAUUAACAAUUUUAAUUUUUGCUCAAUACUUGACAUUAGAUUGGUUUUUCUGUUUGUGGCAAUUUUUACAAAUUAACACUGACCUGGAGGUAGAUCUUUCAGUGAAUAUAUACAUGUUGAUAACCACAUCUGAUCUGCAAACUUGCAGUGUUCACAACUUGCCCACAGCAUGAAAUGAAGGUAGUUUUAUUUUUACAUUUGUGCUUUAUCUGCUUCUUACCACUUGUGAUAAAUUGCCUAUCAUUUCAGUCACACCUGUGGUGUAGAUCUGUGGUUUCCUACACCUUGUCAAGUCUCACUUUUCGUCGAUUUACUUUACAGGUUAUAUGUGAUUUCUUAUUUAUAGCCUUUUCGUUUAAGAUUUUAAGUUUGAUCCUGCUUUAGCUGUUUAUGUAAUUCAUCAGCACCGUUUUUCUUAAUAGCUUUGUUGCUGUAGAUUUUCAUUUGUGUAACAGUGUUGUAGGUGCUGGUAUAUUUUACUUUUUAUUUAACUCUUGCCCAUGAUUAGUUAAUUACUUACCAUUGUGAUUCAACGUUACUAACAAACUUCAGUGGAAGUUCUGAAGUAUUUGUUUCAGCAGCAUAAAAGAUGGAAGUCAAGAGAUCGAAAAAUACAUGUGGAUCCAUUUAUCCAGCUGUUUAUCAGCCAGAAUGAUGACGCCAUUUCCAGUACUGCCUUGUCAAAGAGACACCAAU